GAGAUGAGGUGCUUGCAACCUUAUCUUAGCGGCGGACGGGUGAGUAAUGCUUAGGAAUCUGCCUAUUAGUGGGGGACAACAUUCCGAAAGGAAUGCUAAUACCGCAUACGUCCUACGGGAGAAAGCAGGGGAUCUUCGGACCUUGCGCUAAUAGAUGAGCCUAAGUCGGAUUAGCUAGUUGGUGGGGUAAAGGCCUACCAAGGCGACGAUCUGUAGCGGGUCUGAGAGGAUGAUCCGCCACACUGGGACUGAGACACGGCCCAGACUCCUACGGGAGGCAGCAGUGGGGAAUAUUGGACAAUGGGGGGAACCCUGAUCCAGCCAUGCCGCGUGUGUGAAGAAGGCCUUAUGGUUGUAAAGCACUUUAAGCGAGGAGGAGGCUACUGAGACUAAUACUCUUGGAUAGUGGACGCUACUCGCAGAAUAAGCACCGGCUCACUCUGUGCCAGCAGCCGCGGUAAUACAGAGGGUGCGAGCGCUAAUCGGAUUUACCUGGGCGUAAAAGCGUGCGUAGGCGGCUUUUUAA
rnacentral:rRNA from 1 species